AAGGAUGCUCUGCUCUCAUCAUCCUGCAUGUAAUCUUACAGUGAGCUCUUUCAAUAUGUUGCAGAGGCGACCAAAGCUUAACAUUAGCCUUAUACCACACAUACAUAUUUGUAACAAGGAGUAAAGAAGCGAUCAUGUGUAAUCUCACUCUAAAUUUUCCUGUGGAUAACAAAAUAAUUCCUUACAUUACAUUUUUACAUUCAUAAUACAAAUUAGUCUGAGUGGCUUGACAUGUUAUCUUCCCAAAAAUUCAUUAAGCAAAAACACAACAUUAAUUACAUACCGUAGCUAUUGUCUGUCCAUAAUAUUUCAGGCCCAGAAUUAAAAAAAAAAAUGGUGAGUUAUUUAAAUAGGCUGGAAACAGUGGAGAAGAGUGGUUUGUUUAUUGAAUUGUAGACAAAAUUGUGAUAAAAUGUGAUUUCUUAUUUGUCUGAGAGGUACUCAACGUCUGUGGUAUUACAUAUAUAUUUUUGUCAAGGGCACAUGAUUUUAUUUGUCACAUCUCCAGAAAUCAAUCAAGCAAAACAUUUUGUUUUUCUAAUUACCACUAGAGGGCAAUGUAUUCUAGGUUUAACAUUGUAUUUGGCAGGCACACAAUGCCACAGUUUUGCCACUGGUAGUAAAAAAUAAUUAAAAACAAGCUAACAUUAUUGCAACGUGUACAAACUACUAAAAUACCAAAGAUAGAUACCACUUAAAUGGUUAGAUAAACAAGCAAUGCAAAGAAUGAAAGAAAAACUCAUCCUUUGCAUAUAUUUUCAUUGAAUUUCAAAGUAUAUUACAUCCCACUUAUAAUAAUAAUAAUAAUAAUAAUAAUAAUUGUUUGAGGUAAGCACUACAUGCCAAAUGUCUGUUCCCAUGAUGAAGUACAUGUUUGCCAACUCUAAACGGCCAGCAAGGUAAUGAUUGUACUGUGGCUGCUAACCACUAUAAAUUGUGUCUAUACAAUCCCAAUGUGAAAGAGGCUUCACUCACUAUAUAUUUAAUCCUUCUGAGCACGUCAACUACUGAACACACAUCAACAAUGUAAAAUGAAACUGUUUUGAGCCCAUAUUGUUUGUCCAUUCAUUAUUAAAGAAGGCUCUCCUUUA